GUGCUCGCUUUGGCAGCACAUAUACUAACAUUGAAAUGAUGUUGGUAAGAUUAACAUGGCCCCUGCUCAAGGAUGACAUGCAAAUUCCUGAAGUGUUUCAUAUUUUU
rnacentral:snRNA from 1 species